rnacentral:rRNA from 1 species
ACAGACGACGGCCAACGCAUUCAUGGUGGAGGGAAAGAUUGGUGUUGAUCCUGUUUGUAUGCAAAUCCUUAGAUGGAUGAAAUUCCUUUGCAUCUAAGUAAGUGGUAUGAAAGGGACGCGGAGUUCGUGAACUCGAGCACACAGGAGCUCGAUAUCUGUCCCGUUCACUACUGCGUCGUGAUUCGCUGCAUUCAAUGCCCGGGACAGGCCUGUGGUCGACCAGGAAUUGGGAAAGUCAGAUAUACGUACAGGUGCAGACCUGAAAGGUGGGCCAUGGCUCUGACGGACGUUAGGACGCCGUCCACUGAUCGGCGGACAGCCGUGGCCCAGGACGUCGGCGCCGUCCGAGUCUGUGGUUCAGAACGGUCUCAGAUAUGUGCGGCGGAGUGUCUGCAUAGGCACACCAGGUGGAGAUCAACCACAAUCAUCUGAGCAACCCAUAGAGCAGUAGAUUGUCCCCCAGAGUACCGGGGUGGACGUUUAGGUCAGCUAUGCAUUUUUGUGUGGUUCAGAAUUAUAUGAUGACACGCAUAAGUCUGCGGUUACACUUUGGUACAAAUGCAGAGUCAGGAUUGGGGCUGAAGCAGGCAGAGCGCCAUGCCAAAAUAGGAUUUCAGCAAUGGAGAAAUCAAUCCGGGGGUUUGCCGAACAUCCUGGUGACAAUGUCAUUGUGCCAAAAUUAGGGACUAGCUUCCACACACUGGGUGAAGCUUACGAUUUUUACAAUCUGUAGUCAUGGGAGAAAGGUUUUGGCAUCUCAAAUUUCUUCCUUUGCAAACAGACGCUCGAUGCAAUAAGUGAGUCAUUGAUCGACCUCCCAAUGAUGGAAGUAGCACUGUGUUUGGUGAGAGGUGGGAUGAACUGUCUGGAAGAAAAUUAUGUUACCCUUACAAACUAUGGACAAGGGGUGUCAUCCGGUACCCUCUCAACCUUCAGUCUCUGAACUUAUAUUACAGUUUUUCACUUCGGCGUCCACACAAGAGCUAUCUAGGAACUUGUGCACGAGAAUCCUAUGUUUGUAAGGAUAACAGGGGUGGUGCUGAAGGAACAGCUUGGGGGUGACACGAUGAUUGACCAUGAGCUGAUGUCUGUCAUUAUCCAUAGGUGUUGCCAGGCUGAAUGAAUGCAUGAAAAUCAAUAUAUGAAAAUUAUGUUACCCUCGCUUAAAUUCUGUUCUCACUGGUAUACGUCGGCAUCAUUGCACAGCACAACAUAUGAAAAUCAAUAUGCGAAGCCCUGCACGAAUGCAUGAAGCUACAGGGCAAUUUCUGCCCCCUCGCCCGUGAGGCACUUCGGCAUGUUCUUGCCCCAUCAGACUCCGCAUUUGACACCAGCUGAAACGUCGCCAUACUAAAUUACCCAGGAUGUCCCACUAGGUGAAUUAUAUCCUUAGCAUCUGAUGACGGGGUAUGUCCCACUAGAUGAUUUAUAUCCUUAGCAUCUCAUAAACAUAAGUGUUCCCAACGCAAGCUUAUGUACCCCUAAUGCUACAUUUGAAUUAUGUGUCGAGCAUUUGUACUAUCAAAGACCAUGGUUUCAAACCAUAUCCUUUGUUGUUAAGCAAU